rnacentral:rRNA from 1 species
GCGAGCUGGGUUUAGAACGUCGUGAGACAGUUCGGUCCCUAUCUGCCGUGGGCGCUGGAGAACUGAGGGGGGCUGCUCCUAGUACGAGAGGACCGGAGUGGACGCAUCACUGGUGUUCGGGUUGUCAUGCCAAUGGCAUUGCCCGGUAGCUAAAUGCGGAAGAGAUAAGUGCUGAAAGCAUCUAAGCACGAAACUUGCCCCGAGAUGAGUUCUCCCUGACUCCUUGAGAGUCCUGAAGGAACGUUGAAGACGACGACGUUGAUAGGCCGGGUGUGUAAGCGCAGCGAUGCGUUGAGCUAACCGGUACUAAUGAACCGUGAGGCUUAACCUU